CAGCAGUGAGGAAUAUUGGUCAAUGGCCGUAAGGCUGAACCAGCCAAGUCGCGUGAGGGAAGACGGCCCUACGGGUUGUAAACCUCUUUUGUCAGGGAGCAAGGGGCAGGUCGUGACCUGCUGUGAGAGUACCUGAAGAAAAAGCAUCGGCUAACUCCGUGCCAGCAGCCGCGGUAAUACGGAGGAUGCGAGCGUUAUCCGGAUUUAUUGGGUUUAAAGGGUGCGCAGGCGGAGGCACAAGUCAGCGGUAAAAUCGCGGGGCUCAACCCCGCUCCGCCGUUGAAACUGUGUCCCUUGAGUGCGCGAAGGGUAGGCGGAAUGCGUGGUGUAGCGGUGAAAUGCAUAGAUAUCACGCAGAACUCCGAUCGCGAAGGCAGCCUACCGGCGCGCAACUGACGCUCAUGCACGAAAGCGUGGGUAUCGAACAGGAUUAGA
rnacentral:rRNA from 1 species